AACGCUGGCGGCGUGUGCCUAAUACAUGCAAGUCGAACGCAAAACUUUCAUUGAUUGAGCACCUGAAUGCUUGCAUUCACCGGAAGUUUUGAGUGGCGAACGGGUGAGUAACACAUAACACUUGGAAACAGGUGCUAAUACCGCAUAACAACGAAGAUCGCAUGGUCUUCAUUUAAAAGAUGGUUUAAGCUAUCGCUUCUGGAUGGACCCGCGGUGCAUUAGCUAGUUGGUAAGGUAUGCAUAGCCGAACUGAGAGGCUGAUCGGCCACAUUGGGACUGAGACACGGCCCAAACUCCUACGGGAGGCAGCAGUAGGGAAUCUUACUCCACAAAAGUCUGAUGGAGCAACGCCGCGUGAGUGAAGAAGGUUUUCGGAUCGUCACUCUGUUGUUAGAGAAGAACGUGUGUGAGAGUAACUGCUCAUGCAGUGACGGUAUCUAACCAGAAAGCCACGGCUAACUAC
rnacentral:rRNA from 1 species